AUCGGGUGACAGGUGGUGCAUGGUUGUCGUCAGCUCGUGUCGUGAGAUGUUGGGUUAAGUCCCGCAACGAGCGCAACCCCUACGUUUAGUUGCUAACAGGUGAAGCUGAGCACUCUAGACGAACUGCCGUUGACAAAACGGAGGAAGGUGGGAUGACGUCAAAUCAUCAUGCCCCUUAUGUUCUGGGCUACACACGUGCUACAAUGGCCGGUACAGACGGAGGCGAAGCCGCGAGGCGGAGCAAAUCCGAAAAAGCCGGUCUCAGUUCGGAUUGCAGGCUGCAAUUCGCCUGCAUGAAGUCGGAAUCGCUAGUAAUCGCAGGUCAGCAUACUGCGGUGAAUACGUUCCCGGGCCUU
rnacentral:rRNA from 1 species